rnacentral:rRNA from 1 species
GUACACGCUGUGACUAGCAUAUCAAUAAGCGGAGGAAAAGGAACCUAACAAGGAUUCCCCUUAGUAACGGCGAGUGAAGCGGGAAGAGCUCAAAUUUGAAAUCUUGAAAGGUCUACCUUGCACGAAUUGUAGUUUAAAGAAGUGUUUUCUGUUGACGAUCUGGUAAUAUAAGUUCUUUGGAAUAGGACAUCACAGAGGGUGAGAAUCCCGUCUAUGAUUGCGAUUUGUAGCUUUGUGAUACACUUUCAAAGAGUCGGGUUGUUUGGGAAUGCAGCCCAAAACGGGAGGUAAAUUUCUUCUAAGGCUAAAUAUUGGCGAGAGACCGAUAGCGAACAAGUACCGUGAGGGAAAGAUGAAAAGAACUUUGAAAAGAGAGUUAAAUAGUACGUGAAAUUGUCAAAAGGGAAGCGUUUAACACCAGUGUUGUUUUCUGAAAAUCAACCUCUGUUAGCUUUAUGCAUGUUUGUUUUGACCUAAUCAGCUAUCUUGCAUGCUCUAUUGUUUGCAGUGGUGCACUUUUCAGUUUACAGGUCAACAUCAGUUUUUUUUACCGUAAAAAAGUUAAAGAAAGGUAGCUCAUGGCUCCGGUCGUGAGUGUUAUAGCCUUUUUCCUAUGCGGUAGGAGAGACUGAGGUCUGCAGUGUAGGCUAUUUGGCUAGAUACUCAGGUGCUAUGUGAUACCAUUUCAUAAACAACUUGUUGAUUAUGUUUUGUCUAUUGCAUACUCGCUUGUACUAUCAUACCUACGCUUAGGAUGUUGACGCAUGAGAUAUACGC